GACUGCGAGCGUGACGGCGCGAGCAGGUGCGAAAGCAGGUCAUAGUGAUCCGGUGGUUCUGAAUGGAAGGGCCAUCGCUCAACGGAUAAAAGGUACUCCGGGGAUAACAGGCUGAUACCGCCCAAGAGUUCAUAUCGACGGCGGUGUUUGGCACCUCGAUGUCGGCUCAUCACAUCCUGGGGCUGAAGUAGGUCCCAAGGGUAUGGCUGUUCGCCAUUUAAAGUGGUACGCGAGCUGGGUUUAGAACGUCGUGAGACAGUUCGGUCCCUAUCUGCCGUGGGCGCUGGAGAACUGAGGGGGGCUGCUCCUAGUACGAGAGGACCGGAGUGGACGCAUCACUGGUGUUCGGGUUGUCAUGCCAAUGGCACUGCCCGGUAGCUAAAUGCGGAAGAGAUAAGUGCUGAAAGCAUCUAAGCACGAAACUUGCC
rnacentral:rRNA from 1 species